GGAGAGAUGGCAGAGUGGUUGAUUGCGGCGGCCUCGAAAGCCGUUGUACCGCUUACGCGGUACCGGGGGUUCGAAUCCCUCUCUCUCCG
rnacentral:tRNA from 1 species